rnacentral:rRNA from 1 species
UCAGACGAUGCGUCAUGCAUAUCAAUAAGCGGAGGAAAAGAAACUAACUAGGAUUCCCUUAGUAACGGCGAGUGAAGCGGGAAGAGCUCAAAUUUGAAAUCUUAAAGGGUUCUACCUUGACGAAUUGUAGUUUAAAGAAGUGUUUUCUGUUAGAGUUUCGGUAAAAGUUCUUUGGAAUAGGACAUCAUAGAGGGUGAGAAUCCCGUAUUUGACCAGUUAUUUCCUAGCUUUGUGAUACACUUUCAAAGAGUCGGAUUGUUUGGGAAUGCAGUCCAAAAUGGGUGGUAAAUUUCAUCUAAAGCUAAAUAUUGGCGAGAGACCGAUAGCGAACAAGUACCGUGAGGGAAAGAUGAAAAGAACUUUGAAAAGAGAGUUAAACAGUACGUGAAAUUGUCAAAAGGGAAGCGUUUGACACCAGUGUUGUUUUCUCGAAAAUCAAUUAAAAAAGGCAGGAUUUUGUGUUGUAUUGACUUUAUCAGCUUUCUGCACUCUUUUCUUGUCUUUUUUUAAUGCACUUUUCGUUUAACAAGUCAACAUCAAUUUCUUUUGUUGUAAAAGGGUCAUUGGAAGGUGGCUUUCUUUUCGGAGAAAGUGUUUAUAGCCUUUGGCCUCUGCAAUCGGAGAGAUUGAGGUCUGCAGCGUAGAUCCUUCGGGGUUAGAUACAUUUGUGCUAAGUUAUAGCCUUUCAUAGACAACUUGUUGACUAUGAUCAGUCAUGUAGCUUACUCGCUUAUGCUAUUUUACCUACGCUUAGGAUGUUGAUCUACAGAGCGAGAGU